rnacentral:rRNA from 1 species
UGAGUAACCUGCCCCCGACUCUGGGAUAAGCCCGGGAAACUGGGUCUAAUACCGGAUAUGACACACGGUCGCAUGGUCUGUGUGUGGAAAGUUUUUCGGUUGGGGAUGGACUCGCGGCCUAUCAGCUUGUUGGUGGGGUAAUGGCCUACCAAGGCGACGACGGGUAGCCGGCCUGAGAGGGCGACCGGCCACACUGGGACUGAGACACGGCCCAGACUCCUACGGGAGGCAG